CCUACGGGGGGCAGCAGUGGGGAAUAUUGCGCAAUGGGCGAAAGCCUGACGCAGCGACGCCGCGUGAGGGAUGAAGGUCCUCGGAUCGUAAACCUCUGUCUGCAGGGAAGAACGGUCACUGUCCUAUUCAUCAGUGAAUUGACGGUACCUGCAAAGGAAGCACCGGCUAACUCCGUCCCAGCAGCCGCGGUAAUACGGAGGGUGCGAGCGUUAAUCGGAAUUACUGGGCGUAAAGGGCGCGGAGUCGGUAUGUCAAGUCAAGGGUGAAAUCCCCGGGCUCAACGUGGGAACUGCAGUUGAAACUGGCAGACUGGAGUGUGUGAGAGGAUAGUGGAAUUCCAGGUGUAGGAGUGAAAUCCGUAGAUAUCUGGAAGAACAUCAAUGGCGAAGGCAACUAUCUGGCACAUAACUGACGCUGAGGAGCGAAAGCGUGGGUAGCAAACAGGAUUAGAUACCCUUGUAGUC
rnacentral:rRNA from 1 species